GACGGUGUGGUGUAGUGGUGUGAGCAUUGGCCUAUCAAGCUGGAGACCACAGAUCAAAUCUGUGUUCAGCCA